AUUGAACGCUGGCGGCAGGCCUAACACAUGCAAGUCGAACGAGGGGCGGACGUGAGUGUAAUGUAUGGGAAACUGCCUGAUGGAGGGGGAUACUUACUGGAAACGGUAGCUAAUACCGCAUACCAUCAGAUGUGCCCAGAUGGGAUUAGCUUGUGGGUGGGGUAACGGCUCACCAAGGCGACGAUCCCUAUAGGGUCUGAGAGGAUGACCAGCCACACGGGAACUGGGACACGGUCAAGACCCCUACGGGAGGCAGCGGUGGGGAAUAUUGCACAAUGGGCGCAAGCCUGAUGCGGCCAUGCCGCUUGUAUGAAGAAGGCCUUCGGGUUGUAAAGUACUUUCAGCGGGGAGGCGUUACCCGCAGAAGAAGCACCGGCUAACUCCGUGCCAGCCGCCGCGGUAAUAC
rnacentral:rRNA from 1 species